UCCUACGGGCGCAGCAGUGGGGAAUUUUGGACAAUGGGCGCAAGCCUGAUCCAGCUAUUCCGCGUGUGGGAUGAAGGCCCUCGGGUUGUAAACCACUUUUGUAGAGAACGAAAAGACACCUUCGAAUAAAGGGUGUUGCUGACGGUACUCUAAGAAUAAGCACCGGCUAACUCCGUGCCAGCAGCCGCGGUAAUACGGAGGAUGCGAGCGUUAUCCGGAUUUAUUGGGUUUAAAGGGUGCGUAGGCGGAAUGCCAAGUCAGCGGUAAAAUCGCGGGGCUCAACCUCGCUCCGCCGUUGAAACUGG
rnacentral:rRNA from 1 species